rnacentral:lncRNA from 1 species
AGCAAGGAGAGCAACGGAGCGGGGACUGCAGGCUGGUGUGUGUCCACUGGCAGGGAGCGGGGACUGAGGCUGGCGUGUGUCCACUGGCAGGAAGCGGGGACUGUAGGCUGGUGUGUGUCCACUGGCAGGGAGCGGGGACUGAGGCUGGCGUGUGUCCACUGGCAGGGAGCGGGGACUGAGGCUGGCGUGUGCCCACUGGCAGGGAGGGGGGACUGAGGCUGGCGUGUGUCCACUGGCAGGGAGGAGGGACUGAGGCUGGCGUGUGCCCACUGGCAGGGAGCGGGGACUGCAGGCUGGUGUGUGUCCACUGGCAGGGAGCGGGGACUGAGGCUGGCGUGUGUCCACUGGCAGGGAGCGGGGACUGCAGGCUGGUGUGUGUCCACUGGCAGGGAGCGGGGACUGAGGCUGGCGUGUGUCCACUGGCAGGAAGCGGGGACUGUAGGCUGGUGUGUGUCCACUGGCAGGGAGGGGGGACUGCAGGCUGGCAUGUGUCCACUGGCAGGAAGCGGGGACUGCAGGCUGGCGUGUGUCCACUGGCAGGGAGCGGGGACUGAGGCUGGUGAACUUUUUCAGUAUCUAUGUGAAUACCUCUCUGGGUUCUGCAGGAAUAUCAAAUCAAGUAAGAUAAAUUCUCUCAAGAUCUGCAGAUCUCAAAGCGUCUCCAGCCUAAUGGGAGAGAAAGGCCAACCGUACUGAAUUUACCAGUUGUCUAUUUGCUAAGUGGUUUCAUCUAUACACAGCUGUCCUGAAAUUCAGGUUUUUUUCAGCCUGAUAAUAAAUGUCUGAUUAUAAGCAAUUGUUCUUGUCCAGUAAAGAGAGCUAACAAAAAUACAUUCUAAUUAUUUUGUGUAUUUCUCAUUAUUUGAUUUGCUGUGAUAAUUGAAAUAAAAUUUGAUUGAUUCAACUAAGAUACUAUGAUGUCGAUAAGACCUCAGUUACAUCAAAAGCUGAUUUAAUGGCAUCAUAUUCUUGCACUGACACAACCUUUUCCUAAAAUGAAGAGAGAGAAGACAGAAUGGAAAACUUAAAAUGUUGGGCAUUUAAAUCAAAUAAAAGUUUUUUAAUUUCAGAAUAUCGGUUACAGUUGGCAGCUGCAAUAAAUUACAGCAUCUGAUAAACAGUGAUAAUGAAGAGCUUUUCUCCCUUCUGCGUUCAGCUUCACAGAAUACGAAAUAAAAGGAUUUUCAUUAACAUGAUUUUAUUUCCUUUUUCUAAAUAAUUUCCCUCUAUUACUGUGUUGCAGAGACUUUUUAUUCAACGGAAAAUGGAAGAGCAUGUGGUUUUCAAUGUAGAUUUUGGGCACCUUUGUGACAUACUAGACUUGGCAUAUCAACUAGUGAGGAGUUCUCUAUGCUUCUUAUUUGAAUUGUGUGGUAUCACCUAUAGGGUGAUGUUUUCCACUCAGUAAUUUAAACUAGGAAUGGGAGACCAGUCACAGUGGCUCAUGUUGGUAACACUAACACUUUGGAAGGCCCAGGGCAGGGCAAUUGCUUGAGCCCAGGAGUUUGAAACCAGCCUGGGCAAUGUAGCGAGACCUCAUCCCUACAAAGCAAAUUGAAAAAACUUAGCCAGGUGUGGUGGCAUGCCUUUAGUCUCAGCUCCUUGGGAGGUUGAGGUGGGAGGACGGCUUGAGGCUCAAAUGGGGAGCCACAGUGAGCCGUGAUUAUACCACUGUGCUCCAGCCUGGGAGGCAGACAAGACCUUGUCUCAAACAUACACAUACAUUUUAAAAAUUAAAUGGGAAUUGAAGGAAUCAUUUCAACUUGAAGAUAACCUACAAGAAACUUGAACUUCCAUGUUCUGCCUCUUUUGCCCACAAGUUUAAAAUGCAGCACUAGGUAAUGUGAAAGAGACCACUGUGCUCACCCAAUGGCUGGGUGCGCCUCUCAAUUUUCCAGCCCUGGCACUGGGUGGAGUCAUGUCAC